rnacentral:tRNA from 1 species
CCCCUGAUGGUCUAGUUGGAUAUGGCAUCUGACUGUGAUGGAAACUUCCACUUAAUCAGAGGGUCGCUGGCUUUCCAGCUCGGGGACGA